UUGUCUUCAAGUUUGUCACGUGUGCAAUCAUGUGACGAGUUUUACAUCCUGUCAACAGAACAUUCGUAUCUGUCCUCAUGGAGAGAUAUGCUUUACAUCAGAAAGCUUUCACCACAGUGGGGUGUUGCAAUACAGUUCAGGCUGUAUAUCUAAGCAGAUAUGUGACACUUUGAGUAAUCUUGAUGGGGAUAAUAAACAUAGAACGCAUGCGCCAGUAAUCAUUGGUAACAUCUUAGGCAAAAGAAAACGAUCGAUGAACACCUGUUUCCGGUGU